CUCUCCCUCUUUCAUUGCCUG
rnacentral:snRNA from 1 species